rnacentral:rRNA from 1 species
UAAACGACUCUCAGCAACGGAUAUCUCGGCUCUCGCAUCGAUGAAGAACGUAGCGAAAUGCGAUACUUGGUGUGAAUUGCAGAAUCCCGUGAACCAUCGAGUCUUUGAACGCAAGUUGCGCCCGAAGCCAUUAGGCCGAGGGCACGCCUGCCUGGGCGUCACAC